rnacentral:SRP_RNA from 1 species
GUAUAAGCCCUGUGCAACGGAGUGCUGUGAACCAUGUCAGGCGGGGAACCGAGCAGCAUUAAGCAGAUUUCUUCGUGUGCCGCAGCAAGCUUAUGCCCA